rnacentral:rRNA from 1 species
UAAUACGGAAGGGGCGAGCGUUGUUCGGAAUCAUUGGGCGUAAAGGGCGCGCAGGUGGCUCUGUAUGUCUGCCGUGAAAGCGUACAGCUCAACUGUAUUGUGUCGGUAGAAACUGCAGGGCUUGAGGCUGGGAGGGGCUGGUGGAAUUCCCUGUGUAGCGGUGAAAUGCGUAGAGAUGGGGGAGAACACUCGUGGCGAAGGCGGCCAGCUAGACCAGUUCUGACACUGAGGCGCGACAGCGUGGGGAGCAAACAGGAUUAGAUACCCUGGUAGUCCACGCUGUAAACGAUGGGCACUAGG